rnacentral:rRNA from 1 species
AUUGAACGCUGGCGGCAUGCUUUACACAUGCAAGUCGAACGGUAACAGGCCGCAAGGUGCUGACGAGUGGCGAACGGGUGAGUAAUGCAUCGGAACGUGCCCAGUCGUGGGGGAUAACUGCCCGAAAGAGCAGCUAAUACCGCAUACGAUCUAUGGAUGAAAGCGGGGGACCGUAAGGCCUCGCGCGAUUGGAGCGGCCGAUGUCAGAUUAGGUAGUUGGUGGGGUAAAGGCUCACCAAGCCAACGAUCUGUAGCUGGUCUGAGAGGACGACCAGCCACACUGGGACUGAGACACGGCCCAGACUCCUACGGGAGGCAGCAGUGGGGAAUUCUGGACAAUGGGGGCAACCCUGAUCCAGCAAUGCCGCGUGCAGGAAGAAGGCCUUCGGGUUGUAAACUGCUUUUGUACGGAACGAAACGGUCUGGGUUAAUACCCUGGGCCAAUGACGGUACCGUAAGAAUAAGCACCGGCUAACUACGUGCCAGCCGCCGCGGUAACAC